UAGAGAGAAGACUGUUACCGUGUGACAUACCAAGACUUGUAUUUGAAAACUGAGAAACUGAAAUACAUUCCAAACUAACAAUGAAAGACGGUGGCGACUGACCCCUGAGGAUGAAAGGUAUCCGUAUUACCUCGAAUUUGUCAAGCUUGUAACAAACUCAACAUUUUACAAUUUUGAUUUGCUGACUCCCUUCCAAAAGGAUCCAACUUUAAGGGAUGUCGAUAUGGGACAACUAGCAGUGGAGGUUCAUCCAAACCUUUCCGGAACUUUGGUGACGAUAGAAC